rnacentral:rRNA from 1 species
GACGAACGAGGGAGGAGGGAGGAACACAUGCAAGUCGAACGGAAAGGCCCUGCUUUUGUGGGGUGCUCGAGUGGCGAACGGGUGAGUAACACGUGAGUAACCUGCCCUUGACUUUGGGAUAACUUCAGGAAACUGGGGCUAAUACCGGAUAGGAGCUCCUGCUGCAUGGUGGGGGUUGGAAAGUUUCGGCGGUUGGGGAUGGACUCGCGGCUUAUCAGCUUGUUGGUGGGGUAGUGGCUUACCAAGGCUUUGACGGGUAGCCGGCCUGAGAGGGUGACCGGCCACAUUGGGACUGAGAUACGGCCCAGACUCCUACGGGAGGCAGCAGUGGGGAAUAUUGCACAAUGGGCGGAAGCCUGAUGCAGCAACGCCGCGUGCGGGAUGACGGCCUUCGGGUUGUAAACCGCUUUCGCCUGUGACGAAGCGUGAGUGACGGUAAUGGGUAAAGAAGCACCGGCUCCCUACGUC